rnacentral:rRNA from 1 species
GACGAACGCUGGCGGCGUGCUUAACACAUGCAAGUCGAACGGUAAGGCCCUUCGGGGUACACGAGUGGCGAACGGGUGAGUAACACGUGGGUGAUCUGCCCUGCACUUUGGGAUAAGCCUGGGAAACUGGGUCUAAUACCGGAUAGGACCACGGCCUGCAUGGGUUGUGGUGGAAAGCUUUUGCGGUGUGGGAUGGGCCCGCGGCCUAUCAGCUUGUUGGUGGGGUGAUGGCCUACCAAGGCGACGACGGGUAGCCGGCCUGAGAGGGUGUCCGGCCACACUGGGACUGAGAGACGGCCCAGACUCCUACGGGAGGCAGCAGUGGGGAAUAUUGCACAAUGGGCGCAAGCCUGAUGCAGCGACGCCGCGUGGGGGAUGACGGCCUUCGGGUUGUAAACCUCUUUCACCAGGGACGAAGCGCAAGUGACGGUACCUGGAGAAGAAGCACCGGCCAACUACGUGCCAGCAGCCGCCGUAAUAC